rnacentral:tRNA from 1 species
AGUCCUGUAGCUCAGUGGUGAGAGCACUCGCCUCACAAGCGAGAGGACCUGGGUUCGAUUCCCAGCGGGGCGA